rnacentral:rRNA from 1 species
UACAGAGGGUGCGAGCGUUGUCCGGAAUCACUGGGCGUAAAGGGCGCGUAGGUGGCGCUCCAAGUCCGUGGUGAAAGCUCGAUGCUCAACAUCGAGUCGGCCACGGAGACUGGAGGGCUCGAGCACUGUAGGGGCAGAUGGAAUUCCGGGUGUAGCGGUGAAAUGCGUAGAUAUCGAGAGGAACACCUGCGGCGAAGGCGGGUUGCUGGGCUGAUACUGACGCUGAGGCGCGAAAGCGUGGGGAGCGAACAGG